AACGAACGCUGGCGGCAUGCCUAACACAUGCAAGUCGAACGAGACCUUCGUAACUAGUUGCUCACGCGUGCGUCGCGCGUGGGAACCUUCCCGUAGGUUCGGAAUAACUCCCCUAAAGGGGUGCUAAUGCCGGAUAAUUUCUGCUAACCAAAGAUUUAUCGACUUUGUAUGGGCCCGCGUUGUAUUAGCUAGUUGCUAUGGUAAAAGCCUACCACGGCGACGAUCCAUAGCUGGGCUGAGAGGAUGAUCAGCCACACUGGGACUGAGAAACGGCCCAGAAUCAUACGGGAGGCAGCAGUGGGGAAUACUGGAAUAUGGGCGAAAGCAUGAUCCAGCAAUGCCGGGUGAGUGAUGAAGGUCUUAGGGUUGUAAAGCUCUUUUACCCGGGAUGAUAAUGACAGUACCGGGAGAAUAAGCUCCGGCUAACUCCGUG
rnacentral:rRNA from 1 species